UAGCUUCCUAUUCCUCGCCGCCGCCGCCGCCGCCGCCGCCUGCAUCGCCUUCUCAGUCCUGGUUGUUCCGCCGCGGGCGUACUUCGUGCGCCCCUCUUGCCGUCGGCUCCGACCGCGACCACUCCUG
rnacentral:sRNA from 1 species